rnacentral:rRNA from 1 species
CUACGGAGGAUGCAAGCGUUAUCCGGAUUUAUUGGGUUUAAAGGGUGCGUAGGCGGAUGAUUAAGCGUGAGGUGAAAUGCCACUGCUCAACAGUGGAACUGCCUCGCGAACUGGUUGUCUUGAAUGCUCCUGCCGUGGGAGGAAUGUGUGGUGUAGCGGUGAAAUGCAUAGAGAUCACACAGAACACCGAUUGCGAAGGCAUCUCACGAAGGGGUGAUUGACGCUGAGGCACGAAAGCGUGGGGAUCAAACAGGAUUAGAUACCCUGGUAGUCCACGCAGUAAACGAUGAUGACUAACUGCCGGCCCGUUGCGGGUCGGUGGCCAAGCGAAAGCGAUAAGUCAUCCACCUGGGGAGUACGACCGCAAGGUUGAAACUCAAAUGAAUUGGCGGGG